rnacentral:rRNA from 1 species
AGCAGCCGCGGUAAUUCCAGCUCCAAUAGCGUAUAUUAAAGUUGUUGCAGUUAAAAAGCUCGUAGUUGAAUUUCGGGGUUAGUAGGUUGGUCAUGCCUCCGGUAUGUACUGGUCUCACUGAUUCCUCCUUCCUGAUGAACCGUAAUGCCAUUAAUUUGGUGUUGCGGGGAAUUUGGACUGUUACUUUGAAAAAUUAGAGUGUUUAAAGCAAGCUAACGCUUGAAUACAUUAGCAUGGAAUAAUGAAAUAGGACGUUCGAUCCUAUUUUGUUGGUUUCUAGGAUUGACGUAAUGAUUAAUAGGGAUAGUUGGGGGCAUUAGUAUUCAAUUGUCAGAGGUGAAAUUCUUGGAUUUAUUGAAGACUAACUACUGCGAAAGCAUUUGCCAAGGAUGUUUUCAUUAAUCAAGAACGAAAGUUAGGGGAUCGAAGACGAUCAGAUACCGUUGUAGU